UACGGGGGGGGCAAGCGUUGUUCGGAAUUACUGGGCGUAAAGGGUUCGUAGGUGGCCAACUAAGUCAGACGUGAAAUCCCUCAGCUCAACUGGGGAACUGCGUCUGAUACUGGUUGGCUUGAGUGCAGGAGAGGAACGCGGAAUUCCAGGUGUAGCGGUGAAAUGCGUAGAUAUCUGGAGGAACACCGGUGGCGAAGGCGGCUCUCUGGACCGAGACUGACGCUGAGGCGCGAAAGCGUGGGGAGCAAACAGG
rnacentral:rRNA from 1 species